rnacentral:rRNA from 1 species
GAAGACAUGAAGKUAGGUCAGCAAACCCGCUGAAUUUAAGCAUAUAAGUAAGSGGRGGAAAAGAAACUAAAUAGGAYUCCCUCAGUAWUGGCGAAUGAACAGGGAUGASCUCAGUAUGRAAAUUGGGGCCUGUGGCCUUGAAUUGUAAUCUGGAGWUGUACCMCCAACUGGGGSGCAGAUGUAAGCCUCUUGGAAAAGAGCAUCAAUGAGGGURAGAGUCCCGCUUGGCAUCUGCAGUCCCCAGUGCACGGUGUACCUUCUAAGAGUCACGUUCCUCGGGAUUGGAGCGCAAAUCGGGUGGUAAGUUUCAUCUAAAGCUAAAUAUAGUUUCGAGACCGAUAGCAAACAAGUACCAUGAGGGAAAGGUGAAAAGGACUUUGAAAAGAGAGUUAAAAGUGCCUGAAAUUGCUGAAAGGGAAGCGAAUGGAACCAGCGUAACUUGGCGAGAUUGCUGCGUGUCAAUGUGAUUGCUUGCUGCUUCAACGUAAGUGUUGUAGUAAGUCUUGAACAGGACAUGCGCGGUGCUUCUUGCCUUGUGUGUCACCGUCAAUUCGCAACUGGGGAAAACUUCAGGGACAUGGUAGCCUGUCUCCGGGUGGGUGAACGUGUUUGCUGGAACUCAUUUGCGGAUUGCUUGGUGACYAAA